rnacentral:rRNA from 1 species
UACAGAGGUCCCGAGCGUUGUUCGGAUUCAUUGGGCGUAAAGGGUGCGUAGGCGGCGGGGCAAGUCUGAUGUGAAAUCCCCGGGGCUCAACCCCGGAACUGCAUUGGAUACUGCCUUGCUAGAGUACUGGAGAGGGAACUGGAAUUUACGGUGUAGCAGUGAAAUGCGUAGAGAUCGUAAGGAAGGCCAGUGGCGAAGGCGAGUUCCUGGACAGUUACUGACGCUGAGGCACGAAGGCCAGGGGAGCAAACGGG